GAUGAACGCUGGCGGCGUGCCUAAUACAUGCAAGUCGAGCGAACGGACGAGAAGCUUGCUUCUCUGAUGUUAGCGGCGGACGGGUGAGUAACACGUGGAUAACCUACCUAUAAGACUGGGAUAACUUCGGGAAACCGGAGCUAAUACCGGAUAAUAUUUUGAACCGCAUGGUUCAAAAGUGAAAGACGGUCUUGCUGUCACUUAUAGAUGGAUCCGCGCUGCAUUAGCUAGUUGGUAAGGUAACGGCUUACCAAGGCAACGAUGCAUAGCAGACCUGAGAGGGUGAUCGGCCACACUGGAACUGAGACACGGUCCAGACUCCUACGGGAGGCAGCAGUAGGGAAUCUUCCGCAAAGGGCGAAAGCCUGACGGAGCAACGCCGCGUGAGUGAUGAAGGUCUUCGGAUCGUAAAACUCUGUUAUUAGGGAAGAACAUAUGUGUAAGUAACUGUGCACAUCUUGACGGUACCUAAUCAGAAAGCCACGGCUAACUACGUG
rnacentral:rRNA from 1 species